CCUAAGAACCAGCAUUGCUUCUUCAUUUACCUCCCUGCUCCUGUUAACAUCUCAGAAUCCUGUAUUUAGGAAAGGUUAGCUUUUUCUCUUUUUGUUUCACUGUUUAUCAUGUAUAACAUAGUUAGUCCUCCACCAUACCCAAACAGGAAUGGAUAAAUUGGUAAUAAGAUACGGAGGGGAAUAUUUAGAAAGGUUGCGUACCACAUGAUGAUUAACAUUUUAAAAGUUGGAUUUAUAUCACCUGAUUUUCAAGAUCCUAGAAGUAAUCAAAAUUAGCCUCCAUGGACCAUAGUAAAAGUGAAUGUCACAGUUACUGAUGCAAGAAGAUUUUAAUGUUCAUUUAGCUACCAUUCUAUUCACUCUCUCAUUGCUAAGUUCAAUCAUGUGUGGACUUCUAUUAGCAAACUUAGUGGGCCUCCUCAAAAGACUUCAUCAUUUUGGACCUACUAAAGAUUAAUGGAAAUGGCAUCGCUUAUCUCGCACCCUCCGUCUUCUGAUCUGGCCCAUGGAAGCGGAUUCUUCUUACCUUGAAAGAUGUUGAAUAUUGUUUGGCUGAUGAAAGUCUUCAGCGCAUUGAAGAGAGAAUCCCAAAGGCUGUACACGUUUGAAAAACGUUGCUUUGCCCAUUUGAAAAAGUGGCAUCAAAAUGAAUCCAAAAAAGAAAAC